rnacentral:lncRNA from 1 species
UAACUCAAAUCACAUCUAAGGAACUCCCCAAGAAACCCCCUAAAACAUCCUAAAACUAUCACAUAAAACAUGCAAGGAAAGGCUGGACAGGGCACCUUCAGCGGCAGGUUCGGCGGCCGAAAGGCAGAUCCAGAGACGAAACUCGCCUACUUUCGGCGGCCGAACCUCAUCUUUCGGCGGCCGAACCUCAUCUUUCGGCGGCCGAAAGUCCUUUUGGGGCAAGGUUCGGGGGCAGGCUUAGGCAGCCGAAACUACCUCCACAGCAGGUUCGGCGGCCGAACCCUCCUUCGGCGGCCGAACCUGGUUUCUGCCACAGGGCAGAAACUCGCCCAACACAUGCACAAUCUCCCCCAAACUUGCUCAACAUGCAUACCAACACACCACAACAUGCAUAUAUACUUAUAUAUGCUCCAAGGGGUCUAAAACUAACCUAUAACCCCAAC